CCAUUGCAGGCCCUCAGUGUCUGUGUACUGAAUUGCUAUUAUAAUCCCCUCUGUACAGCUGAGGAAACUGAGGCCCAGUGAGAGGGAAAAGCUUGCCCAGGUCACACAGCCAGUUGUAGGUUCAGAUAUUUUCUCUCAGCAACAAGAAAUUGACUGGACACCUGACAUGCUGCUGUUGGAACAAGUAGAACUUGCCUUCGCUGAAAGCCUAGGAUGGAGAGUGGGCUGAGAUGCACCACCAACAAUCAUGUGUCUCUCUGAAUCUAGCCAAAUGGACUACGGGUGCUAACCUGAGCCAGGCUGGGUCAAUAACUUUCUAUCUGCUGGGAAUUUGCAAGUGAACAAGGUUGGAUUCUGUUUUCACUGGUGGAGCUGCUCUGCCUUUCUACAGUGAGAUGCCAUUGCUGAGAGGACCCUUUUGAGAGGAUCCAUUCUGAGAAGGCCUCUGUUUCAUCAGAUUUUCUCUGUAGGGAUGAUGGCUUCUCCCAUCUCUC
ensembl:lncRNA